UGGACGCGCCCGGCGUCCCCGCGUCCGCGCCCCAGGUGUCCCGCGCGGGCGGCGGAGCAGGCGGCUGGGCGCGUCCUGCGCCCGCCAGAAUUCUUUGAUACCUUCUUGUUGGAAGAAUCUCCAGCUGCUCUUGAUGAUAGCCUAGGAAGACGACAUGCUGCUUCCUCUCGACGCGAAGCCAGGCCCACUCGGAGCCUGGGCUCUCAGCCCUUCAUGGAGACCGGGUCCCAGCAGGAAUGGCAGUGCAGGAAAUUGGCACCCAGAUGGCUCCUCCACGUGAAGUUGUCCCGGGCUAUGGGCUGCCGAGAGAACACCUGGUAGCCAGGUUAGCCCCCCGCCAGUCACCCGGGGCAGGGCAGCAUGGUGCGGAUUCAGAGGAGGAAGUUUCUGGCAUCUUGCCUGUGCAUCACGGCUACCGUCUUUCUGCUCGUCACACUCCAGGUAGUGGUGGAGCUGGGGAAAUUUGAGAGGACGAAGUUUGGAAAUUCCAAUUUGCAAGAUGGGCACGCGAAAAUGGAGGAAGGGCCUGGACAUCUGAAUCCAUUCCUUAAGAAAGAAGCUCCGGCCUUGCACAGGAAGAAAACAUCGGGCAGCGACAGCUACCCCGUCAUGCUCUGGUGGUCCCCGCUGACCGGGGAGACGGGGCGGCUGGGCCAGUGUGGGGCAGACGCCUGUUUCUUCACCAUCAACCGCACCUACCUGCAUCAUCCCAUGACCAAAGCCUUCCUCUUCUACGGUACUGACUUUAACAUAGACAGCUUGCCCCUGCCUAGGAAAGCCCAUCACGACUGGGCCCUUUUUCACGAAGAGUCCCCGAAAAACAAUUACAAGCUCUUUCAUAAGCCGGUUGUCACCCUGUUCAACUACACUGCCACGUUCAGUAGGCACUCCCACUUGCCACUGACCACCCAGUACUUGGAGGGCGUGGAAGCCCUGAAGUCCCUCCGAUACCUAGUUCCUCUGCCGUCCAAGAACGAGCUCAGGAAAAGACUGGCUCCGCUGGUGUACGUGCAGUCAGACUGCGACCCGCCAUCGGACAGGGACAGCUAUGUCCGGGAGCUGAUGACUUACAUCGAGGUGGACUCCUAUGGGGAGUGUUUACGGAACAGAGAUCUGCCCGGGCAGCUGAACAGUCCGGUGUCUAUGGAUGCCGAUGGCUUUUACAGGAUCCUCGCCCAGUACAAGUUUAUCCUUGCCUUUGAGAACGCGGUGUGUGACGACUACAUCACGGAGAAGUUCUGGAGGCCACUGAAGCUGGGGGUGGUCCCCGUGUAUUACGGGUCCCCCAGUAUCAAGGACUGGCUCCCGAGUAACAAAAGUGCUAUUCUCGUCUCGGAAUUCCCUCACCCCAGAGAGCUGGCAGGUCACAUCCGACGGCUGGACCAUGACGACAGGUCGUACGAGGGCUACGUGGAAUGGAAGCUGAAGGGCCAGAUCUCUAACCAGAGGCUUCUGACAGCUCUCAGGGAACGGAGCUGGGGUGUGCAAGACAUCAGCCAGGACAAUUACAUCGAUGCCUUUGAGUGCAUGGUGUGCACCAAGGUGUGGGAUAACAUCAGGCUUCAGGAAAAGGGCUUACCUCCCAAAAGAUGGAAGGCAGAAGAUACACAUCUGAGCUGCCCGGAGCCUACCAUGUUUGCUUUCUCACCACCCCGGGCUCCACGCUGGGGCUCUUCGCGAGAGAUGUGGGUACGAAGCUUCGAACAAUCCAAGAAAGAAGCCCGGGCGCUAAGGUGGCUGGUGGAUAGGAAUCAAAAUUUCUCAGCUCAGGAGUUUUGGGCUCUAGUGUUCAAGGACUAAUUUCCAAAAUGUAUCAGAAUGAUGUAGACUAGAACCUUCUAGAACUUUGUUUUCUGGGUUGCCUUAAUAUUUGAACACGGUAGCUAUUCUGAUGACUAUCCAUUAGGAUAAGAAUUAAUUGCUGCAGUACUCAUAAUGAGCCCUAUCAAAGAACAGAUGUGAAUUACCCUUAGGGGUUGCCUCUGUAUUUUUUUAUACUAAAAAAAGUAAAUAUUUCUUAUGGACACUGGUCAUCUUCAGUUUACAUGUCUGGACUCACGUACUUGCUGCCUUUUGUGGACAUUCACCUGAUUUAGAGCGAGCGCUUUCCUUGCAGGAUGGAGGCAGAGGAUCUAGCUGUGGAUUCUAGGUCCUCACUACACUCUCAAUGGUGUACUGGUAUUUGGAAGCCCAGUGUUCUCUGAUGCUGAGUGUGAACAAGAAGUGCAUUUGAACUUGGCAAUGAGAAAUCCCAUCUGUUGGUUUCCAAGGAUCUAACCCAAAAUUGAACCGCUGGCUUCUGAAGGAAGUUGGUAAUUCCAGGAAGAUUGCUACUGCUCACAAAAGAAUCGUGACCAGACACUGAAAACCCUUUAUAUUCUACUCUGGCUUCAGCUGUAUGAACAUAGAAGAUACUGAGAUACCAGAAGAGGAAAUCAAGCAGAACGUAUGGAAUGGAGGACUGAUUCCACGAUGAGUGAGCAAAUUCCCAAUUUCGAUUUCCAGUCCCCGGUCAGUAGAGCUGAACUUGUGAUGGACUAAGCAACAUCCCUGCGGAAGUCUGUUUGGCAGAGACAGAAGAGGAGCUUGUGUUAGAGGAUAGCCUUCUGCAGCUCUCGGUCCAUCCCCUGUCAGUACUCCAGUGGCUACGACAAGGAAGUUAUCUGCCAUGUUGCAAUGACACUCAAGCAGCAUUAUGGAGAUGUCUUAUGGUGAGGGACCGAGAUGCCACCCAGCAUCCAUGGGAGUGAUGGAACAGCUUGGAACAGACUCCUCCAAUAAGUUUGAGUUGGGAAGGAAAAAAGAAAAUAGAAGAGAAAGACAACGAUAGAAGUGAAAGGCAAAGGGAACAGAAAGAGACCCAGGGUCAUCCAACCUUUCUUCCAGAGAUGCCCACCCUAUACCUGGAAGGCAGGGACAUCUUUAUCUCUGAAGACACAGGGACACAGAGAAGAAUUUGAACAAAGAGGCUUGGCUAAGUUCCCCCCAAUUUAUUACCAUUAGAUCCUACCUCUUUUUCCAAUCGUACUUCCCCAAGACUAUCCCCUUCAUCAUCAAACUUAGAAUAAAAAUACACAGGUUCACCCAUUUCUUUAGGUCUUCAUUUCCUUAUGAAAGAUUCCUGUGUCAUGUAAAACUUAAACUUGUAUGCUUUUCUUUUACUAAUCUGGCUUUUGUUAUAGGAGCCUCCACCAUGGACCAAGUGACAUGACGGGUGAGAUUUCUUCUCCCCUAUGCUACGGAGCACAAAGGCAGGACCCAAGCUCUGGUGGCCUCUCUCCAAAUCCCACGCUUUCCCACUGCCUUCAAGCAGUUGCCCAUGUCGUAGGCAAGUAUGAUCCACACAUAUGGAAUAAAAAAGAAUUGAACAGAACGAAUAAAGACAAUCCUGGGUGAGUCUCCUCACUCUGAUGACAAAGUGCAGCUGGCGGGUCCAGAUGGCAUAUUUUACUAUUAGUAGCUGGCUCUGAAGCAACCCUGGGACUAGCUCGAAGAUUCUCAUAGACCUUAUAUAGUGGUAUACCCAUAUUCAAAAUACUGUAACAUCUGUGUGUAAAACACAUACUGAUUCUAUCUGCAAGCAAUGCUUGGAUUCCCAUUCCACUUGUUUCUGAUGCAUGCACCCCAGUGUGGGUAAAGAUUCUUCUAGUUCCUUUGGUCCUGGCUCUUCUUUACCUUGAAAGGCAUGCAAGACUCUCUUCUCCACAGUCACCUCAUGUGUUUUUUAUAAUCGUUAUUAAAAUGCUUCAAAGAACAUUCA